rnacentral:rRNA from 1 species
AGGACGAACGCUGGCGGCGUGCUUAACACAUGCAAGUCGAGCGGUAAGGCCCUUUCGGGGGUACACGAGCGGCGAACGGGUGAGUAACACGUGGGUGACCUGCCCUUAGCUCUGGGAUAAGCCUGGGAAACUGGGUCUAAUACCGGAUAUGACCUCGCGAUGCAUGUCGUGGGGUGGAAAGCCUUGUGCGGCUAGGGAUGGGCCCGCGGCCUAUCAGCUUGUUGGUGGGGUGAUGGCCUACCAAGGCGACGACGGGUAGCCGGCCUGAGAGGGCGACCGGCCACACUGGGACUGAGACACGGCCCAGACUCCUACGGGAGGCAGCAGUGGGGAAUCUUGCGCAAUGGGCGAAAGCCUGACGCAGCGACGCCGCGUGAGGGAUGACGGCCUUCGGGUUGUAACCUCUUUCAGCCCUGACGAAGCGAAAGUGACGGUAGGGCAGAAGAAGCACCGGCCAACUACGCGCCAGCAGCCGCGGUAA